rnacentral:rRNA from 1 species
UAGGGAAUCUUCGGCAAUGGACGAAAGUCUGACCGAGCAACGCCGCGUGAGUGAAGAAGGUUUUCGGAUCGUAAAACUCUGUUGUUAGAGAAGAACAAGGACGUUAGUAACUGAACGUCCCCUGACGGUAUCUAACCAGAAAGCCACGGCUAACUACGUGCCAGCAGCCGCGGUAAUACGUAGGUGGCAAGCGUUGUCCGGAUUUAUUGGGAGUAAAGCGAGCGCAGGCGGUUUCUUAAGUCUGAUGUGAAAGCCCCCGGAUCAACCGGGGAGGGUCAUUAGAAACUGGGAGACUUGAGUGCAGAAGAGGAGAGUGGAAUUCCAUGUGUAGCGGUGAAAUGCGUAGAUAUAUGGAGGAACACCAGUGGCGAAGGCGGCUCUCUGGUCUGUAACUGACGCUGAGGCUCGAAAGCGUGGGGAGCAAACAGG